rnacentral:rRNA from 1 species
UAGUAACGGCGAGUGAAGAGGGAAAAGCUCAAAUUUUGAAUCUGGCGCCUUUGGCUCCCGAGUUGUAAUCUAGAGAAGUGUUUUCCGCAUCGGACCGUGUAAAAGUUCCCUGGAACGGGACGUCAUAGAGGGUGAGAAUCCCGUACAUGCCACGGACUGCCGUUGCUCUGUGAUACACUCUCAACGAGUCGAGUUGUUUGGGAAUGCAGCUCAAAAUGGGUGGUAAAUUCCAUCUAAAGCUAAAUAUUGGCGAGAGACCGAUAGCGAACAAGUACCGUGAGGGAAAGAUGAAAAGCACUUUGGAAAGAGAGUGAAACAGUACGUGAAAUUGUUGAAAGGGAAGCGUUUGGAGUCAGUCGCGUCUGGUGGGAUUCAGCCUUGCUUCUUAUUGGUGUUUUUCCUGUCUGACGGGUCAGUGUCGAUUUCGAUUGAGGGAGAAAGGCUUGGGGAAUGUGGCUGUCUUCGGGCAGUGUUAUAGCCCCUUGUUGUAUGUCUCAGUUGGGAUCGAGGAAUGCAGCACGCCUUUUGGCCGGGGUUCGCGCCCUCGGUACGUGCUUAGGA